UACGAAGGGGGCUAGCGUUGUUCGGAAUCACUGGGCGUAAAGGGCGCGUAGGCGGCCGUUCAAGUCGGGGGUGAAAGCCUGUGGCUCAACCACAGAAUUGCCUCGAUACUGGACGGCUCGAGACCGGAAGAGGUCAGUGGAACUGCGAGUGUAGAGGUGAAAUUCGUAGAUAUUCGCAAGAACACCAGUGGCGAAGGCGGCUGACUGGUCCGGUUCUGACGCUGAGGCGCGAAAGCGUGGGGAGCGAACAGG
rnacentral:rRNA from 1 species